UUGACUAUCCCCGUAGGAAGGGAUUGGCAAUAAUUGAAUGUUCGCUUUCUAUUAGGUGUGUAUAUAUAGUCUCAAAAUUACAUGUAUUUGUAAUGGCGAGUAAUAUUUAUACUAUCCUGUAGGAAAACUCGGGCGACCGCUGUAAUAUUUCUCUUUAAAACAGAGGAAGAUUGCGGCAAUAACAGGUCUGUGAUGCCCUCAGAUGUCCCGGGCCGCA
rnacentral:rRNA from 1 species